rnacentral:rRNA from 1 species
UGGCGGACGGGUGAGUAACGCGUGGGUAACCUGCCUCAUACAGGGGGAUAACAGUUGGAAACGGCUGCUAAUACCGCAUAAGCGCACAGUACCGCAUGGUACGGUGUGAAAAACUCCGGUGGUAUGAGAUGGACCCGCGUCUGAUUAGGUAGUUGGUGGGGUAACGGCCUACCAAGCCGACGAUCAGUAGCCGACCUGAGAGGGUGACCGGCCACAUUGGGACUGAGACACGGCCCAA